CCUGCCGGUAUGCCCGCUAUCCGCACCAUGCAGUGCACGACUAGGUAAAAACCCCUAACGCGCAGUUACUUCAGUUAGUCGGGUUGGUUUUGUUACGGAGCUUUGGUAAACGAGGAGCAGCGCAAGGUGGGAGGAGGAAGCGCGGAGCGGAAGGGACCGGGGAUGAGCGAUAACAAAGAGUCAGGUGCAGCGCCGUACGGCGCCCUCACGGCCGCUCGUGGAUGGCUCCGGUCUUUAAGCACUCCCCUCACAAGUCAAUAAGAAAACGGGAAAGCCGCGGAGGCAAAAGCCGCGUUUGUGCCGGCAGCUGCAGCGCUGAGAGAGAGAGGCGAGUGCAUUGUGCGGGGAGCGGGUGGCGCGCGGCCGUCCCAGCCCAUCCCAUCCCAUCCCAUCCUGCGGGAGGGAAGGUGCGCCUGGCGGGGCACGGCCGCAGCCCGCGCUCGCACCACGUCCUGCAGAGCAUCUCCGUAAAUAGGAAUGCAGACAGUCUGGAUGCCUGACUUGGAAACUAUUCAAUGGUCAGGGGACAAAAAUGAGGAAGAGGAGGGUGUGGCUGCUGCUGGGAGGCUCUGGCCCUGCAAAGGGUCCCUGACUUUAAGAGAUGUGGUCCUGCAUCGGUACAAAACGAAGACUUCUUUUAGGAAAUGUAUGUUGAUCUUCUGAAGCUGAAUCCUCAGGCAUUUGUGGCCCGUCCUUGCAGUCUGGUAUGUUUUUUGUGAGUGUGUGCGAGCGCUCUCAAUCAAACAGCAAUCAUGGCAGCUGUUUUUCUUCCAGCACAGCAGUUGAGCUGUCUCGCCCAAAUGCUUAUCAGCUUUUGACUCGGUGCCAAGAGAGUUAUAAGGGCCAAGCAGCCUGAGCUUGGCUAUGCAGCUGGUUUGGAAGUAAGGGCAUGAGAAAACAAAAUCGCAAAGUUAUUCUGUCACAUACAGUAUUUACUUUUUCAAAUAGCCAUUUUCAGCUCGGUAGGUUUGGGUUGGUUUUAUGUGUAUAUGUGUGCUGUGGUUCGUGGUCCUUACUGACUGCUGUGUUACGCAGAGCGGUGUAGGUGUGCGACUGCAGAGAGGAGCCUCUUCUCUCCAUUUAAUCCCGGGAGAU